CAGCCAUCCUUGAAAGAGUGCGUAAUAGCUCACUGGUCAAGUGAUUCUGCGCCGACAAUUCAGCGGGGCUCAAGUUAUCCGCCGAAGCUGUGGCAUUCACGCGUUGUGGCCGGAAGGUUGCGUGGAUGGGUAGGGGAGCGUCGUGUGCGUGUUGAAGCGGUGGGGUGACCUGGUCGUGGAGUGCAUACGAGUGAGAAUGCAGGCAUGAGUAGCGAAUGACGGGUGAGAAACCCGUCCGCCGAAUAUCCAAGGGUUCCAGGGUCAAGUUAAUCUGCCCUGGGUUAGUCGGGACCUAAGGCGAGGCCGACAGGCGUAGUCGAUGGACAACGGGUUGAUAUUCCCGUACCGGCGAAACAACGUCCGUGCUGGGGCACGCGAUGCUAAGCAUGCGAGACUGUCUGCUGCCUUUCGGGGUGGUGGGUGGUUGAGUCUGUGAUCCGAGUGUGUAGUAGGCAAGCCGCGGAGGGACGCAGGAAGGUAGCUCAUCCUCAGCGUUGGUUGUCUGAGGCUAAGUGUGUAGGGUGGGGUGUAGGUAAAUCCGCAUUCCGUGAUGCCUGAGACACGAUGGGCCUGCACCGUUUGGGUGUGGGUUGAGUGAUCCUAUGCUGCCUAGAAAAGCUUCGUUGGCGAGUUGUUAGCCGCCCGUACCCUAAACCGACACAGGUGGAUAGGUAGAGAAUACCGAGGCGAUCGGGAUAAUCGUGGUGAAGGAACUCGGCAAAAUACCCCCGUAACUUCGGGAUAAGGGGGACCUGAUACGUGACCAGCCUUGCGUUGUGAGCGUUGAGGGUCGCAGAGACCAGGCCCAAGCGACUGUUUACUAAAAACACAGGUCCGUGCCAACUCGUAAGAGGAUGUAUACGGACUGACUCCUGCCCGGUGCUGGAAGGUUAAGGGGAACUGUCAGCCGCAUUUUGUGUGGUGAAGCGGUGAACUUAAGCCCCAGUAAACGGCGGUGGUAACUAUAACCAUCCUAAGGUAGCGAAAUUCCUUGUCGGGUAAGUUCCGACCUGCACGAAUGGAGUAACGAUUUGGGCGCUGUCUCCACCACGAACCCGGUGAAAUUGCAUUACGAGUAAAGAUGCUCGUUACGCGCAGCAGGACGGAAAGACCCCGGGACCUUUACUACAGUUUGGUAUUGGUGAUCGGUGUGACUUGUGUAGGAUAGGUGGGAGACUUUGAAACCGGGACGCCAGUUCCGGUGGAGUCGUCGUUGAAAUACCACUCUGGUCAUUCUGGUUAUCUAACCUAGGACCGUUAUCCGGUUCAGGGACAGUGCCUGAUGGGUAGUUUGACUGGGGCGGUCGCCUCCUAAAAGGUAACGGAGGCGCCCAAAGGUUCCCUCAGCCUGGUUGGCAAUCAGGUUUCGAGUGUAAGUGCACAAGGGAGCUUGACUGUGAGACCGACGGGUCGAGCAGGGACGAAAGUCGGGACUAGUGAUCUUCUGGUAGCGAAUGGAAGCGCCAGGACUCAACGGAUAAAAGGUACCCCGGGGAUAACAGGCUGAUCUUGCCCGAGCGUCCAUAGCGACGGCAUGGUUUGGCACCUCGAUGUCGGCUCGUCGCAUCCUGGGGCUGGAGUCGGUCCCAAGGGUUGGGCUGUUCGCCCAUUAAAGCGGCACGCGAGCUGGGUUUAGAACGUCGUGAGACAGUUCGGUCCCUAUCCGCUGCGCGCGUAGGAGUCUUGAGAAGGGCUGUCCUUAGUACGAGAGGACCGGGACGGACCAACCUCUGGUGUGCCAGUUGUUCCGCCAGGAGCACGGCUGGUUGGCUACGUUGGGAAGUGAUAACCGCUGAAAGCAUCUAAGCGGGAAGCACGCUUCAAGAUGAGGACUCCCACACCGUCAAGGUGGUAAGGCCCCCCGCAGACCACGGGGUUGAUAGGUCGGACGUGGAAGCACAGUAAUGUGUGAAGCUGACCGAUACUAAUAGGCCGAGGGCUUGCCACA
rnacentral:rRNA from 1 species